UACAGAGGUGGCAAGCGUUGUUCGGAAUUACUGGGCGUAAAGGGCGCGUAGGCGGCUUGGUCAGUCCCGUGUGAAAUCCCUCGGCUCAACUGAGGAACUGCACGGGAAACUGCCUGGCUUGAGUCCGGGAGAGGUGAGUGGAACUCCGAGUGUAGAGGUGAAAUUCGUAGAUAUUCGGAAGAACACCAGUGGCGAAGGCGGCUCACUGGCCCGGUACUGACGCUGAGGUGCGAAAGCGUGGGGAGCAAACAGGG
rnacentral:rRNA from 1 species